GACGAACGCUGGCGGCGUGCCUAAUACAUGCAAGUAGAACGCACAGUUUAUACCGUAGCUUGCUACACCAUAAACUGUGAGUUGCGAACGGGUGAGUAACGCGUAGGUAACCUGCCUGGUAGCGGGGGAUAACUAUUGGAAACGAUAGCUAAUACCGCAUAAUAUUGAUUAUUGCAUGAUAAUUGAUUGAAAGAUGCUAUUGCAUCACUACCAGAUGGACCUGCGUUGUAUUAGCUAGUAGGUGAGGUAACGGCUCACCUAGGCGACGAUACAUAGCCGACCUGAGAGGGUGAUCGGCCACACUGGGACGGAGACACGGCCCAGACUCCUACGGGAGGCAGCAGUAGGGAAUCUUCGGCAAUGGACGAAAGUCUGACCGAGCAACGCCGCGUGAGUGAAGAAGGUUGUCGGAUCGUAAAGCUCUGUUGUAAGAGAAGAACGGGUGUGAGAGUGGAAAGUUCACACUGUGACGGUAUCUUACCAGAAAGGGACGGCUAACUACGUG
rnacentral:rRNA from 1 species